rnacentral:rRNA from 1 species
CCCUUAGAUGUUCUGGGCUGCACGCGCGCUACACUGAAGCUAUCAACACGUUUUCCCUCCCUGAGAAGGGCGGGUAACCUUUUGAAUCAGCUUCGUGGUAGGGAUCGGGGCUUGCAAUUGUUCCCCGUGAACCAGGAAUUCCUAGUAGACGCGAGUCAUACGCUCGCAUCGAUUAAGUCCCUGCCCUUUGUACACACCGCCCGUCGCUACUACCGAUUGAACGUUUUAGUGAGGCAUUUGGACCGACGCAUCUCAGUUUAACCGCUGGUUUGUGUUGGAAAGACUUCCAAACUUGAGCGUUUAGAGGAAGUAAAAGUCGUAACA